CCAGGGGAAGGUUCGUCCGCCCUGGGUUAGUCGGGACCUAAGCUGAGGCCGAAAGGCGUAGGUGAUGGACAACAGGUUGAUAUUCCUGUACUACCGAUAACCGUUUGAGAGAAGGGAUGACACAGUAGGAUAAGCUAAGCACACUGUUGGUUAUGUGUGCCCAAGCAUUGAGGCAGUCAAAGUAGGCAAAUCCGCUUUGAUAAUGCUGGGAUGUGAUGGGGAGCGAAAUUUAGUAGCGAAGUAGCUGAUUUCACACUGUCAAGAAAAGUCUCUAUCGAGGUUAAAGGUACCCGUACCGCAAACCGACACAGGUGGGUGAGGAGAGUAUCCUAAGGCCAGCGAGAGAACUGUUGUUAAGGAACUCGGCAAAAUGACCCCGUAACUUAGGGAUAAGGGGUGCCACCAUCAGGUGGCCGCAGAGAAUAGGCCCAAGCGACUGUUUACCAAAAACAUAGGUUUCUGCUAAGUCGCAAGACGAUGUAUAGGAGCUGACGCCUGCCCGGUGCUGGAAGGUUAAGGGGAUCUGUUAGAGCAAUCGAAGCAGUGAACUUAAGCCCCAGUAAACGGCGGCCGUAACUAUAACGGUCCUAAGGUAGCGAAAUUCCUUGUCGGGUAAGUUCCGACCCGCACGAAAGGCGUAACGAUUUGGGCACUGUCUCAACAACAGACUCGGUGAAAUUGUAAUUCCGGUGAAGAUGCCGGAUACCUGCGACAGGACGGAAAGACCCCAUGGAGCUUUACUGUAGCUUGACAUUGGGUCUUGGUACUACAUGUACAGGAUAGGUGGGAGGCUUUGAAACCAGGACGCCAGUUUUGGCGGAGCCAUCCUUGGGAUACCACCCUUGUAGUACUGGGACUCUAACCAUAGGCCAUGAAUCUGGUCUUGGGACACUGUCAGGUGGGCAGUUUGACUGGGGCGGUCGCCUCCCAAAAGGUAACGGAGGCGCUCAAAGGUUCUCUCAGUACGGUCGGAAAUCGUACGUAGAGUGUAAAGGCAAAAGAGAGCUUGAUUGCAAGACAUACAGGUCGAGCAAGGAUGAAAAUCGGACUUAGUGAUCCGGUGGUUCUGCGUGGAAGGGCCAUCGCUCAACGGAUAAAAGCUACCCUGGGGAUAACAGGCUUAUCUCCCCCAAGAGGACCGGGAUGGACGUACCUCUGGUGUACCAGUUGUCCUGCCAAGGGCAUGGCUGGGUAGCUAUGUACGGAAUGGAUAAGCGCUGAAAGCAUCUAAGCGCGAAGCCAACUUCAAGAUAAGAUUUCCCACCGCAAGGGUAAGACCCCAGAAAGACUAUCUGGUUGAUAGGUCGAAGGUGUAAGUGCAGCAAUGUAUUUAGCUUAUCGAUACUAAUAGGUCGAGGACUUGACCAAU
rnacentral:rRNA from 1 species